rnacentral:rRNA from 1 species
CAGCAGUCGCCGCGGUAAUACGAAGGGUGCAAGCGUUACUCGGAAUUACUGGGCGUAAAGCGUGCGUAGGUGGUGGUUUAAGUCCGUUGUGAAAGCCCUGGGCUCAACCUGGGAAUUGCAGUGGAUACUGGGUCACUAGAGUGUGGUAGAGGAUAGUGGAAUUUCCGGUGUAGCAGUGAAAUGCGUAGAGAUCGGAAGGAACAUCUGUGGCGAAGGCGACUAUCUGGGCCAACACUGACACUGAGGCACGAAAGCGUGGGGAGCAAACAGGAUUAGAUACCCGUGUAGUCCCUGUCUCUUAUAA